CCUACGGGAGGCAGCAGUGAGGAAUAUUGGUCAAUGGGCGCGAGCCUGAACCAGCCAAGUAGCGUGAAGGAUGACUGCCCUACGGGUUGUAAACUUCUUUUAUAAAGGAAUAAAGUGAGGCACGUGUGCCUUUUUGUAUGUACUUUAUGAAUAAGGAUCGGCUAACUCCGUGCCAGCAGCCGCGGUAAUACGGAGGAUCCGAGCGUUAUCCGGAUUUAUUGGGUUUAAAGGGUGCGUAGGGGGAAUGCAAAGUCAGUGGUAAAAUUGCGGGGCUAAACCUCGCACCGCAGUUGAAACUGGCGUUCUUGAGUAGGGGAGAGGGAUGCGGAAUGCGUGGUGUAGCGGUGAAAUGCAUAGAUAUCACGAAGAACUCCGAUUGCGAAGGCAGCAUACCAGCG
rnacentral:rRNA from 1 species